CGGAAGGGCGAGCGUUGUUCGGAAUCAGUUGGGCGUAAAGGGCGCGUAGGUGGUCCUGUAUGUCUACCGUGAAAGCGUACGGCUCAACCGUAUUUUGUCGGUAGAAACUGCAGGACUUGAGGCUGGGAGGGGCUGGUGGAAUUCCCUGUGUAGCGGUGAAAUGCGUAGAGAUGGGGGAGAACACUCGUGGCGAAGGCGGCCAGCUAGACCAGUUCUGACACUGAGGCGCGACAGCGUGGGGAGCAAACAGGAUUAGAUACCCUGGUAGUCCACGCUGUAAACGAUGGGCACUAGGUGCCGGCGGUCUUGAUCCCGUCGGUGCCGGCGCUAACGCAGUAAGUGCCCCGCCUGGGGAGUACGGUCGCAAGGCUG
rnacentral:rRNA from 1 species